UUAUCAACCAUCAAGCUCUGCUUGGCAUUGAGCGUCACCCCCCCUUCACCGGGUGGGCGCGCUUCAAACCGGUCGGCGGUGGCUCAGGCCUCUCAAGCGUUAGUAAUACUUCCCGCUUCUAGAGCCUGUAGUCGCCCGCCUCCAAAACCCAACACCUCAAGGUUGACCUCGGAUCAGGUAGGGAUACCCGCUGAACUUAA
rnacentral:misc_RNA from 1 species